UACGUAGGGUGCGAGCGUUAAUCGGAAUUACUGGGCGUAAAGCGUGCGCAGGCGGUUUUGUAAGUCAGAUGUGAAAUCCCCGGGCUCAACCUGGGAACUGCGUUUGAAACUACAAGGCUAGAGUGUAGCAGAGGGGGGUGGAAUUCCACGUGUAGCAGUGAAAUGCGUAGGGAUGUGGAGGAACACCGAUGGCGAAGGCAGCCCCCUGGGUUAACACUGACGCUCAGGCGCGAAAGCGUGGGGAGCAAACAGG
rnacentral:rRNA from 1 species